AAUGAACGUUGGCGGCAUGGAUUAGGCAUGCAAGUCGAGCGAGAAGUGUAGCAAUACACGGAAAGCGGCGGCAGGGAGAGUAAUACGUGGGAAUCUGCCCUUAGACCUGGGAUAGCAGCGGGAAACUGCUGGUAAUACCAGAUAAUGUCUAUGGACCAAAGGUGUGAUUCCGUCUAGGGAUGAGCCCACGUCCUAUUAGCUAGUUGGUAGGGUAAUGGCCUACCAAGGCGAUGAUGGGUAGCGGGUGUGAGAGCAUGGCCCGCCUCACUGGGACUGAGACACUGCCCAGACACCUACGGGUGGCUGCAGUCGAGAAUCUUCGGCAAUGGGCGCAAGCCUGACCGAGCGAUGCCGCGUGCGGGAUGAAGGCCUUCGGGUUGUAAACCGCUGUCGAGGGGGGGCAACUUCCAUAGAGUUAUCUUUAUGGAUUGAGUGAUCCCUGGAGGAAGGACGGGCUAAGUUCGUGCCAGCCGCCGCGGUAACAC
rnacentral:rRNA from 1 species